rnacentral:rRNA from 1 species
UGCAGUCGAACGGUGAAGCAGAGCUUGCUCUGUGGAUCAGUGGCGAACGGGUGAGUAACACGUGAGUAACCUGCCCUUGACUCUGGGAUAAGCGUUGGAAACGACGUCUAAUACCGGAUACGACCCUCAACCGCAUGGUUAGGGGGUGGAAAGAUUUUUUGGUCAAGGAUGGACUCGCGGCCUAUCAGCUUGUUGGUGAGGUAAUGGCUCACCAAGGCGACGACGGGUAGCCGGCCUGAGAGGGUGACCGGCCACACUGGGACUGAGACACGGCCCAGACUCCUACGGGAGGCAGCAGUGGGGAAUAUUGCACAAUGGGCGCAAGCCUGAUGCAGCAACGCCGCGUGAGGGAUGACGGCCUUCGGGUUGUAAACCUCUUUUAGUAGGGAAGAAGCGAAAGUGACGGUACCUGCAGAAAAAGCACCGGCUAACUACGUGCCAGCAGCCGCGGUAAUACGUAGGGUGCAAGCGUUGUCCGGAAUUAUUGGGCGUAAAGAGCUCGUAGGCGGUUUGUCGCGUCUGCUGUGAAAACUGGAGGCUCAACCUCCAGCCUGCAGUGGGUACGGGCAGACUAGAGUGCGGUAGGGGAGAUUGGAAUUCCUGGUGUAGCGGUGGAAUGCGCAGAUAUCAGGAGGAACACCGAUGGCGAAGGCAGAUCUCUGGGCCGUAACUGACGCUGAGGAGCGAAAGCGUGGGGAGCGAACAGGAUUAGAUACCCUGGUAGUCCACGCCGUAAACGUUGGGAACUAGAUGUGGGGACCAUUCCACGGUCUCCGUGUCGCAGCUAACGCAUUAAGUUCCCCGCCUGGGGAGUACGGCCGCAAGGCUAAAACUCAAAGGAAUUGACGGGGGCCCGCACAAGCGGCGGAGCAUGCGGAUUAAUUCGAUGCAACGCGAAGAACCUUACCAAGGCUUGACAUAUACGAGAACGGGCCAGAAAUGGUCAACUCUUUGGACACUCGUAAACAGGUGGUGCAUGGUUGUCGUCAGCUCGUGUCGUGAGAUGUUGGGUUAAGUCCCGCAACGAGCGCAACCCUCGUUCUAUGUUGCCAGCACGUUAUGGUGGGAACUCAUA